GAUGAACGCUAGCGAUAGGCCUAACACAUGCAAGUCGAGGGGCAGCAUAAGGAAGUAGCAAUACUUUCUGGUGGCGACCGGCGCACGGGUGAGUAACACGUAUGCAACCUGCCUUCAACAAGGGGAUAACCCGUUGAAAGACGGACUAAUACCCUAUAACACAGGGGUCCCGCAUGGGAAUAUUUGUUAAAGGACAACCGGUUGAAGAUGGGCAUGCGUUCCAUUAGCUAGUUGGCGGGGUAAGGGCCCACCAAGGCAACGAUGGAUAGGGGAACUGAGAGGUUUAUCCCCCACACUGGUACUGAGACACGGACCAGACUCCUACGGGAGGCAGCAGUGAGGAAUAUUGGUCAAUGGACGCAAGUCUGAACCAGCCACGUCGCGUGAAGGAAGACGG
rnacentral:rRNA from 1 species